AAAAUAUGUGUAUAUUCCUGCCCAGUGACAAAAGUUAAACGGCCGCGGUAUCCUAACCGUGCAAAGGUAGCAUAAUAAUUUGCCUAUUAAUUAUAGGCUAGCAUGAACGGAUAAACGAAAUAAAAACUGUCUCAAUUAGAUACAUAAAAAUUAUUCCCUAUGUGAAGAAACAUAGAUUAAUUCGAAGGACAAGAAGACCCUAUAGAGCUUUAUUUAACUAUAGUAUACAACUAUAUAAAAUUCGGUUGGGGCGACCGCGGAAUUCUAAUCAUCCAUAAAUAAAUAGACUUAUAAGUCAAUAAACUGACCCAAUUAAGAACACAAGACCAAGCUACCUUAGGGAUAACAGGCUAAUCCCAUUAAAGAGUCCAUAUCAACAAUGGGGAUUGGCACCUCGAUGUUGGYUUAGGAUACCAAUAUAGCGCAAAAGCUAUAUUAAGAUGGUUU
rnacentral:rRNA from 1 species